AAUCAACGCUGGCGGCGUGCCUCAGACAUGCAAGUCGAACGCGAAAGUUCCCUUCGGGGGGCGAGUAGAGUGGCGCACGGGUGAGUAACACGUAGGUAAUCUACCUUCGGAUGGGGAAUA
rnacentral:rRNA from 1 species